rnacentral:rRNA from 1 species
UACGUAGGGUGCAAGCGUUAAUCGGAAUUACUGGGCGUAAAGCGUGCGCAGGCGGUUAUAUAAGACAGUUGUGAAAUCCCCGGGCUCAACCUGGGAACUGCAUCUGUGACUGUAUAGCUAGAGUACGGUAGAGGGGGAUGGAAUUCCGCGUGUAGCAGUGAAAUGCGUAGAUAUGCGGAGGAACACCGAUGGCGAAGGCAAUCCCCUGGACCUGUACUGACGCUCAUGCGACGAAAGCGUGGGGAGCAAACAGG